CCCUGCUCCCCCUCUUCUCCCUCUCCUCCCAGCCUACUAAACUAACCCUGCUCCCCCUCUUCUCCCUCUCCUCCCAACCUACUAAACUAACCCUGCUCCCCCUCUUCUCCCUCUCCUCCCAGCCUACUAAACUAACCCUGCUCCCCCUCUUCUUGUGUCCCAUUGGAUUCUGUUUCUAGCUACUGUGUAUCUAGCCAUGUUUCUCUCCCGGCACAUCUCUUCCCUUCUUCCGUCUAUCCCUCUCUCUUUCUUCCCUUGAUUUUUGCCGGCCACAUAGUCCAGUAUUUUAUUUAGUUAAGGAUAUUAACUCUGUAUGUCAUGCAGGCAGAAAUGUCGAUACAGACCACCAAACACUUGAAACAAACCACUGACAUAGAUGUAAUAGGACAUGGACCUAAUGGAGAAAUGAUUGUUUGGUUGUCAUGACAACCUUUGUCCUUUUCUUUUAAUAACAUGGGGUAUGCUAUAUUUUCUUUUUCCUGUUAGAUUUUUUUUUUUUUUUUUUAUCUAUAAAAAGAUUAGGAGAUGCUGCUGAAAGCAUCUGAUUGGUUCGCGGGUUGUCUCCUGCCGUGGUAGGUUGGUAAUGUAAUUUCCCUUUGGCUGCAUAGACCCGCCCCUUACCCUCCUGGUGAUUGGCGGGUUGUGGUGAGAGGCAGCCUAACGAGCGUUUUUACGAGCCAAUCAGGAAGCUUGUCUGCGUUUUUGUAUUGAUGCAUCAAAAUGAAUAAAGACAAUGUUUUCAGUAUGAACCCUAACCCUGCACUCCUCACAUGGUCUGUCAAACAUACACUACCGGUCAAAAGUUUUAGAACACCUACUCAUUCAAGUGUUUUUUCUUUAUGUUUUACUAUUUUCUAUAUUGUAGAAUAAUUGUGAAGACCUCAACUAUGAAGUAACACAUGGAAUCCUGUAGUAACCAAAAAAGUGUUAAACAAAUCAAAAUAUUAAUUUUGAGAUUCUUCAAAUAGCCACCCUUUGCCUUAAUGACAGCUUUGCACACUCUUGGCAUUAUCUCAACGAGCUUCAUGAGGUAGUCACCUGCAAUGCAUUUUAAUUAAUAGGUGUGCCUUCUUAAGAGUUCAUUUGUAGAAUUUAUUUUCUUCAUAAUAUGUUUGAGCCAAUCAGUUGUGUUGUGACAAGGUAGGGUUGGUAUACAGAAUAUAGCCCUAUUUGGUAAAAGACCAAGUCCAUAUUAUGGCAAGAACAGCUCAAAUAAGCAAAGAUAAACAACAGUCCAUCAUUACUUUAAGACAUGGAGGUCAGUCAAUCCAGAAAAUGUCAAGAACAUUCUUAAAGUGCAGUCACAAAAACCAUCAGAGCUAUGAUGCAACUGGAUCCCAUGAGGACCGCCACAGGAAAGGAAGACCCAGAGUUACCUCUGCUGCAGAGGAUAAGUUCCAUUAGAGUUACCAGCCUCAGAAAUUGCAGCCCAAAUAAAUGCUUCACAGAGUUCAAGUAACAUACAUCUCAACAUCAACUGUUCAGAGGAGACUGAAUCAGGCAUUCAUGGUCAAAUUGCUGCAAAGAAACCACUACUAAAGGACACCAAUAAGAAGAAGAGACUUGCUUGGGCCAAGAAACACGAGCAAUCGGCAUUUAUAUCGGUGGAAAUGUGUCCUUUGGUCUGGAGUCCACCGUGUCUUUGUGAGACGCGGUGUGGGUGAAUGGAUGAUCUCUGCAUGUGUAUUUCCCACCGUAAAGCAUGGAGGAGGAGGUGUUAUGGUGUGGGGGUGCUUUGCUGGUGACACUGUGAUUUAUUUAGAAUUCAAGGCACACUUAACCAGUGUGGCUACCACAGCGUUCUGCAGCGAUACGCAAUCCCAUCUGGUUAGGGCUUAGUGGGACUAUUAUUUAUUUUUCAACAGGACAAUGACCCAGCACACCUCCAGGUUGUGUAAGGGCUAUUUUUACCAAGAAGGAGAGUGAUGGAGUGCUGCAUCAGAUGACCCGGCCUCCACAAUCACCCAACCUCAACCAAAUUGAGAUGGGAGUGAACGAAAAUCAGCCAUCAAGUGCUCAGCAUAUGUGGGAACUCCUGCAAGACUGUUGGAAAAGCAUUCCAGAUGAAGCUGGUUGAGAGAAUGCCAAUAGUUUGCAAAGCUGUUAUCAAGGCAAAGGUUGGCUAUUCGAAGAAUCUCAAAUAUAAAAUAUAUUUUGAUUUGUUUAAUACUUUUUACAUGAUUCCAUAUGUGUUAUUUCAUAGUUCUGAUAUUUUCACUGUUCUACAACGUAGAAAAUAGUAAAAAAUUAAGAGAACCCCUUGAAUGUGUAGGCAUUCUAAAACUUUUGACCGGUAGUGUGUUCACACACACCUCUGAUAGUACACACACAUGCUUAUGAGUCUCUGGUAUUGAGAGAAAUGUUUGCUAUUGAAUAUGAAGAGCUCUCUCCUUAUACUCCAUCUUAAUAUGUGGUGAAUGAUACCAAUGUAAUGAUGGGAAUGAUUGAAACCCCAACAACACAGACUGGUGAGAUUUACUCUUGUCUACUUAUGUCCAAAGCCUGCUGGUUUGUUAGUGUUGCCGUCAGUGUACAAACAGAGACAAACUGUAGGUUUUAAACAGACAUUCAGACGGGGUAUGUGGAUAGAACUCAACUGUCAUGUAUCUCUUUGGAAGACCAGAGAGUGAACUGCUAGACUUUGUUCCUGUGUUCUAACCACGGAAUAAAAGAUUAGUACUACCGGUAACCUUGGUAACUGAUACCAUGACGACGGCAGAAGUAAACUGAACUAGAUUGUAAGAGAUGGCAGUAUGUUAGGGAGGAACUAGGUUUUAGGCUUGAGCUUUUUGCUUUGCUGUGACAACUUUUUCCCAUGUGAAGAUGUCCAAAGAGUGGAUAUCUGUGAUCACUAUGGAGAUGGUUCCACCUAGCCCCUCAAGAUGAGAUGUGGAGCGCUAAUCUGCCAUAUUGCUUUCAUCUAUCCAGACCUGUGCAGAUCUGUGAACUCUAAUGGGCUAGUACUAGGUCCUAAGGGAAGGAGGCUACUGACUAAAAUGUCAGUUAUGUGAACACAUUAGACCUUUGUCUCAGCCACAGAUCAUCAUCAUAAUAAGGAUUAACAUCAGUGGUGAAAGGCCAUGUGUAUUAGUGCUUUCAAGACAACAAUAACAAAAGCGAGGUGAAAUGACGUCUGUGAUCUUCAGGUCGGAAAGUCUGAGCUCUAGAAAGAUUGCCAGAGUUUCUGACUUGGAAUUCCCAGUUAAAUUAUCUUUCAAAGCUCGUUUUUUCCAGAUGGAGCUCGUUUUUUCUUCAGAAUUUCCAGUUGACUGAAGUGUGAAGUCUGAGAUUUCCGAGUUCCCCAGGUUUCUUUUUUUUUACACUGCCUGGUGUCACUCAAACACAUCACAGUGUUGUAUUCUGGGAAAUGUGUUUUUGCAGUUGUGACUAUUUGCUCUAUCGGUAUACAGUCACAUGGGUUUCUGAUAUACAGUUUUGGUCUUUAUGUUCUUGAGUGUUCUUAAGGGUUCUAGGGUUACUCCUGGGCUAAAAACCAUAUUCAAUGUAGAAUCUCAUUUAAAAAUGCUCAGGCUGAUUAUUGCAAAUAAGGAUUAAUCAACCUGAAUCAACCUGCCUGGUAAACGAUGGUUUACUUCAGGAGUAUAGGUUUUAUUUAGGGCUUGGAAACUAAUUGGUUGACUUGUGGGUUUGUAUUUUCUAUUUGCAAUAUUAGAUGUUGUACCUUCAGUAAGCCUGUGGUAGUUGGCAGUGGGAGAAGAUGACUUGGGGAUAGAUGAAGGGAUAGGGAAAGGUUUAGCCUUUGUUAUUACACUGCUGAUCCC
rnacentral:lncRNA from 1 species